AUGAACGCUGACGGCGUGCCUAAUACAUGCAAGUCGAGCGAACAGACGAGGAGCUUGCUCCUCUGACGUUAGCGGCGGACGGGUGAGUAACACGUGGAUAACCUACCUAUAAGACUGGGAUAACUUCGGGAAACCGGAGCUAAUACCGGAUAAUAUAUUGAACCGCAUGGUUCAAUAGUGAAAGACGGUUUUGCUGUCACUUAUAGAUGGAUCCGCGCCGCAUUAGCUAGUUGGUAAGGUAACGGCUUACCAAGGCAACGAUGCGUAGCCGACCUGAGAGGGUGAUCGGCCACACUGGAACUGAGACACGGUCCAGACUCCUACGGGAGGCAGCAGUAGGGAAUCUUCCGCAAUGGGCGAAAGCCUGACGGAGCAACGCCGCGUGAGUGAUGAAGGUCUUCGGAUCGUAAAACUCUGUUAUUAGGGAAGAACAAAUGUGUAAGUAACUAUGCACGUCUUGACGGUACCUAAUCAGAAAGCCACGGCUAACUACGUG
rnacentral:rRNA from 1 species